UAGCGGCGAACGGGUGCUUAACACGUGGGCAACCUGCCAUGAAGUGGGGGAUAGCUCGCCGAAAGGCGAAUUAAUACCGCAUGUGAUUAGAGAGGACAUCCUUUCGAAAUUAAAGUCGGGGCAACCUGACGCUUCUUGUGGGGCCCGCGGCCUAUCAGCUAGUUGGUGAGGUAACGGCUCACCAAGGCUUUGACGGGUAGCUGGUCUGAGAGGACGACCAGCCACACUGGGACUGAGACACGGCCCAGACACCUACGGGUGGCAGCAGUCGAGAAUUUUUGACAAUGGGGGAAACCCUGAUCGAGCGACGCCGCGUGGAGGAUGAAGGUCUUCGGAUUGUAAACUCCUGUCAUUGGGGAACAAGGUGCAUACGUUAACUGCGUGUGUAUUGAUAGUACCCGAAGAGGAAGGGACGGCUAACUCUGUGCCAGCAGCCGCGGUAAUACAGAGGUCUCAAGCGUUGUUCGGAUUCAUUGGGCGUAAAGGGUGCGUAGGCGGCGCGGUAAGUCGGGUGUGAAAUCUCGGAGCUUAACUCCGAAACUGCAUUCGAUACUGCCGUGCUUGAGGACUGGAGAGGAGACUGGAAUUUACGGUGUAGCGGUGAAAUGCGUAGAUAUCGUAAGGAAGACCAGUGGCGAAGGCGGGUCUCUGGACAGUUCC
rnacentral:rRNA from 1 species